AUUUCAUCAGGCACUGGAGAGACCUGUGCUCAAGCAAUUAUUUCUCAAUGCAGAAAGUCUUCCAACUAGUAACUUGAACUAAAUAAUCUGUUUCAGGAAGAGGCUUUGUGCCCUUCUUACCGCUCUCCUUGCCUUGGCCCUCUUCCUCACACUUGCACUGGCUUGUGUUUUUCUGACCCUGCACCAAGCUGAUUCCGUUUACUGGAAACAAAAGAAGAUUAAACUGGAAAAAAGUGAUUAUAUUUGGAGAAGAUUCUGACUACAAUAUUAUGGGCUAGCCAGUGUGACAACAGCAAGAAGGCUUUGCUCAAAGGGAAGAAGGUCAAUAAAAUCCAGGCAUUUUGUAAGCUCAUCUUUCAGCUUCCUCCAAGAAAUGACUGCAAUAUCUUCUACCAUCUCCACAGGACUUAGAUUUCUGGAAACUUCAAAAAGAAACUUCUCAUAUUCCUCUCAAAAAUCUGUAGAGAAACUAUGAAGCUAUACAGCAGUUAAUAAAUGUGCUGCCCAGAAAGAUUUUAUGUGAUUCAGUAAGAGGAAAAGAAAGAAAGCUAAUGGUUGUCAGCAAGUAGUAAUCACUCCAGUGUUCAAAGUGUAUUCCAGAUGAACUCGAACAUUUUCUGUUUCUACUGAAGUCAAAGACAAUAUUUCUGUUGGCUGCAGUGAGAUGAGUUUUAAUGUCAUAAAUUCUGAACUGUUCUCUUUUUCAACCUAAAAUAAUAAAAUAUGGUAUUAUUUCAGAACCGAUAUCAGAUAACUGAUAUGUGGAUUCAUCAUUCAUUUUAACACUUAUCUGACUGUUUCCUCAUUCUACUGCCAAAGCUGGUUUAAAAGAAAAGAAAGGCACCUCCCAAGCUAUCUUCUCUUGAAAGGUCAUAUAAAGUUUUCCAUUUUUUAAGCUCUGCAGGAAACGGAACUUUAGGCUCAUUAAAACAAAACCACAGCAAGAACAACUCAUCUUCCUCACGCAACAGCAUCUCGGGGUGAGCACUGCAAUGACUCAUUGUUGCCUUUGGCACCCUGCAUGAGAUAGGCAUGUGUGGUGGGCAGGUAUGUGGGAGCAUUGGGUGCAUGGAAGCAGAUGGGCUAAAUGCCAAAGGCAUGCCAAAACAGUGACAUCCUCGGCGAAAUGGUUGGUAGGGAACAGGGCAGCUGCCUGGACACAAGCUACUGAAAGUAGGCAAGGCAUCCACUCAGUGCUGCAGAUACAACCUAGGACUUCGUGGACCCUUAUUCCCUCUAUGCCAGCAGCUGGAGGCUAGCCACAAUAUCCUAGAGUGUUCAAGAGGUCACCUAUAUAUGAAAACAUGCAUCUUUCUUGAAUAUAUACAAGCAAUAUUAUGUAGAAGUCAUGGUUGAAAGGUGUAACCCUCACAGAGAGCACACCUGUUGGUUUUCCUGAACAGAUUCUCCUCUGACACCUCUAAGUGGAUUAUGGGGUUCCAGUUUAGCCUCUUUUUAAGAAACAGGGUGUUUGUGUUGCUUUGUACUUUGCUGUAGUGCACCUCUGAACAGAUAGGAAGUGCCGUAGUGCAGCUGCCACUGCCUUACAGGCAGCUCUACGCCUAGUGCUCCUUGUGCCACAAAUACGGCCUUCACGUCAUCUCCUGCAAGAAGCUUUGCCUUAUUCCAUGAGUUUUGUCCCAUCUGCUCACCUUCAGGAUCCUUCUAAGACAGCAGUCCAUUCUUCUAUGGGCAUGCACAUAAGCAUUAGAUAUGUUGGUCAUUUUGGGGAUAGAUCAGAGGGAAUUGCAAGUUUUCAGCUUUGCACAUCUCUGUGAUACCCUGCGGCAUUUUUCUGUACUCUGCAAACAUUUCCUACAGUCAAUCAGAAAAGUGGCAGCCUGAGGUCUUUGGUGGAACUGUGUCCGGUGAGAGGACAAGAUGAACAUCUUCUGGGGUGAGAUGAAAGACGCCGUUCCCUGAAGGGUCUCGGAUGCAUUUGCUGCAGAAUAUGAAGGUUUCAGGGAUGAGUCAGAAGUUGAAAGGAAAGCAAGACUAGUGCCAUGGCAAAUGCAGCUGGACAUCACUGUGUCUCACAACCUGCAGGAGGCAAGACCUGAAAACAAGGUUUUCACAGCUUUGUUGGUCUUUGUGUUUUAGUUUCUUGUCUUGGACUAUUGAAUCUUAGCACUCAUCUGCAGCUGAAUGUUACCGGGAGUUGAACUUUCAAAAUAAAGUGUUGUAUUUUUAAUUUUCUAUUCCGGGUCAUGUUGGGAAAGGGUUUAGUAAGCAAUGCAGGGUGCAGCUCUCUGAAUGACAGUGCUAAUAAAAAUCCUGGCUAGACUGUCUGUAAGAAACCUCUGCUGUUCCUGUGCACUGAAUGAAGCAGGGAUCUCUUGAAAGGAAUACUAAUGCAGUGGUACCAUUAAAAAGGUGUAUUGUAAUAUACACACAACAGAGUGCCACGUUAAAGGCGGACUUAAUUCUGGCAUUUCAUGAUGUUAAAGCCUUGCAAUGUUAAUUUUCAUUAUUGUGUUGGGGUUCCUAACUUUACAAGAGAGAAGCUGGAAACACAGACUUCCUAUGUGAAUACCAGCAUGUGGACACUUAGGUGUUCAUCAGCAAGUUAGAUGCUUCAGAUUUGCUGUGCUGACCUCUGCCAUUUGGACACACACACCGAGAGAGGCUAUCCUCCCUGGGAGUCAGUCAAUUCCCAAAGGACCCUAAAAUGUGUAUUCCUACUGCCUCUCACAGAUUACUUGCCAGUAAAAUAAACCUUCUUAUUCCUGGCUCCAGAAGAAGUUGAUGUGAACUGAGCACAGGACUAUGUGGCUGUUUGCUUUUCACCAUUUCUUUGUGAUAAACGUGCACCUUAUGCAGGUCCAUCCAAUAAGUUGCUGUCUUCUAGUAAAAGCUCGUGGUGCUCUCUGGACAAGCUGGCUAAUUCCAUCUGCAUCACGUAGCUGUUCUUGUGCCUCCCGACAACCUCAGCUUUCUGCUUCAAUAUGGGACUGCCUGGGGUUGAAAGUAAUUCAAACUUGUGGUUGUUCUUUGUGUCUCUGUGUGUCAUACAAUGAUUAUGAGUAGCCAUAUAUAACCAUGGUUAUAUGGUUAUCAUGACAAACUACAUUACUGCAUAAGUCGGCAGCAGUGCUAUGAAAAGCAGUUCAUCAGUUCCUUAGUAGUUGGAAUAUGGUGACACUUGGAGUAAUCUAAGAGGAUCAAAUCUUCUUUAAGAAAACAAAUGAACAGAUCCUUUUUAUGAGUUACUUUUAAUUUUCCUUGACAUACCGACAAAUGAAGCCAGGACUUCUUUUGGGAGGAAAUUGAUCCACUUGUUAUCUCUGCUGACUGAGCUGUGUCAUGCUAUUUCACUGUGCUAAUAAGAAAGAUGGGUGACUCAGCAUCUGCAGCUUGCAAUUCAAUAUCAGGUGAAAAGUUGGACAGCAUGUCAACAUUUCAUCCUGAUGUUAAUGUAUUAUCUCAAAGAAAGUCCAAAGGGCAGCCUUCUGGAAUGUGAAUAGAUGAAUAUCUUUAACCUUAAUUAGUUUUACGUUGUCUGCUUGUUUUCUAGUUGGCACCUCUUCUUCCUAAAUGAUUAAAUUACUCACAUGAAUUAAAACAUCAAAUUUGCCACAGACUUUGCCUCUUUCCCACUGAGAGUGGUAGGAAGCGGUAUAAACCAGAAAAAAUGGAUAAUUGUGACAAUUGACAUUUUCUCUUCUGACUAGUGCGCUGGUUUGUUUUAAUCCUUUGCACUGUAAAUUAUUUCUAAAAGCUUCAAGUGGAAAAUUCAGCUGUAAACAGACUCCCAGUACUUACAGGCAGCACAGCUUGCACAGUAGUCACAGGAAAAAAAAAUAGCUGCAAGAAUUAAACUCAUAGGAAACUCAGGUGACUUUCUUUCUGAAGCAUAUGCCUGCUUGUGGGGAAAAAGGGGCUGGAGGAGGCAGUCUUGAGAUAUUUCCCAGGGAAUUCACAGGGUAGCAGCAGCUACAGAUCGGUGCCCAGGUCAGUGAGCAGUAUGGCCCAAGUCUACUAAUUAAUUUCACAAAGAAAUGAGAAUUUGUCAAGGUGCGUAGUCACUACCAAUUCUCUAUACCGUAACGCAUAUAGUAAGUCCUCUUCUCUCUAAAAAUAAUAAAAGAA